GUGAAAAUUUAGGAUUUCCACCCUUAAUGACUGUAGUGGGGGUUACUCACAGACAGCUCCUCCAAUAGGAAGGACUCGAGACCCUUCUCCACCUCUCACAUCAGGUCUUGUCAACGUCUGUCACGAGUCAGUCGGUGUUGUGAUGGAGAUCACAAUUACCCUCACGGGGGUGGCCAUACCACCAUACAGCCAUAUAGUUAUCACAGUGUGAUAUGAGAACGCCCAUGAUGAGUUUGAGGGAGGUACUGGGGGGACAAUCUCAACUGCUGACACAGUUGAGUUUAAUGCCUGUAAAUACUAUACCUCAUGUGCCGUUAAUAUAUUAAUCUGUAAUUAAAAAUACAUAAAUACAUUUUAAUAACUUAAAUAUUUUAUUUAUGUGCAAGCGAGAUGGAUAUAUCGGACGAAGAAUUUAAUGAAUAUGAUGACCAAAUGGCUACAAUGAGAAUGAUGAUGCAUGUGACCACCACCCCCGUUGGUACCUCCUUCUAGGGGAGUACUCAGAGGAGAAGGAAGAAGAACAAGAAGACAAAUAUGAUGAUGAUAAACAAAAU